CAAAUUUCUUGUUUAUAUAUUUCAUAGAAAUAAGAAAGAAAUUAAGGUUGAAAAUGGCUGAAUGUUAUGUUUGUUAUUCUAAGUUUCUUGUGAUAUUUCUCAGUUUGCUCCUCAUUGCAUCAAAUGACAAUGAAGUUGUGGAGGGUGCUAGUGCUGGUUUUUGUGAUGUGUGGAGUGACAAUUUUAGGGGACAAUGUUAUAGUAGAUAUCGUUGUAAUAAUACAUGUAAAGAUGAGGAGGGGUAUAUUUAUGGAGGUGAAUGUUUGUGGAAAGGCCUUUUAGUGGGAAUGGCUUGUAUGUGUAUUUAUAGAUGUUGAUGACUCAAAUUAAUUAAUCAUCAAAUAAAUGUCAUAUUAGAUGCAAUAAUAAGAAGGGGUAAAAACUUGUCGAUACUCGAUAUUUACUUCAAAAUUAAAUAUUUUAUAUGUAAUAUCGAAUGCAGUAUCGUAAGAAAAUUGGAUAUGGCUGUUUCUUGUACUUUAUAUGUAAUGUACUCAUCAUUAAUGUGUGAAAUAAAAUUUGAAAAGAAUAGUAGUAAA